CACGUAGGGCGCAAGCGUUGUCCGGAAUUAUUGGGCGUAAAGAGCUCGUAGGCGGUUUGUUGCGUCCGCUGUGAAAACUCGGGGCUUAACCCCGAGCCUGCAGUGGAUACGGGCAGACUAGAGGUAGGUAGGGGAGAAUGGAAUUCCCGGUGUAGCGGUGAAAUGCGCAGAUAUCGGGAGGAACACCGGUGGCGAAGGCGGUUCUCUGGGCCUUACCUGACGCUGAGGAGCGAAAGCGUGGGGAGCGAACAGG
rnacentral:rRNA from 1 species